AGCGAACGCUGGCGGCAGGCUUAACACGUGCAAGUCGAGCGGGCAUAGCAAUAUGUCAGCGGCAGACGGGUGAGUAACGCGUGGGAACGUACCUUUUGGUUCGGAACAACACAGGGAAACUUGUGCUAAUACCGGAUAAGCCCUUACGGGGAAAGAUUUAUCGCCGAAAGAUCGGCCCGCGUCUGAUUAGCUAGUUGGUGAGGUAAUGGCUCACCAAGGCGACGAUCAGUAGCUGGUCUGAGAGGAUGAUCAGCCACAUUGGGACUGAGACACGGCCCAAACUCCUACGGGAGGCAGCAGUGGGGAAUAUUGGACAAUGGGCGCAAGCCUGAUCCAGCCAUGCCGCGUGAGUGAUGAGGGCCCUAGGGUUGUAAAGCUCUUUUGUGCGGGAAGAUAAUGACGGUACCGCAAGAAUAAGCCCCGGCUAACUUCGUG
rnacentral:rRNA from 1 species